rnacentral:misc_RNA from 1 species
GUGAAGAACGUAGCGAAAUGCGAUAAGUAAUGCGAAUUGCAGAAUUCAGUGAGUCAUCGAAUCUUUGAACGCACAUUGCGCCCUGUGGUAUUCCGGGGGGCAUGCCUGUCCGAGCGUCAUUACAACCCUCAAGCUCAGCUUGGUGUUGGGCCCCGCCGCCCCGGCGGGCCCUAAAGUCAGUGGCGGUGCCGUCCGGCUCCGAGCGUAGUAAUUCUUCUCGCUCUGGAGGUCCGGUCGUGUGCUCGCCAGCAACCCCCAAUUUUUUUCAGGUUGACCUCGGAUCAGGUAGGGAUACCCGCUGAACUUAAGCAUAUCAAUAAGCGGAGGA